GGUGCUGCAGAGGUGUUGCCAUGAAGCUCAGCAAUCAAGCUCAGCCUCCAGUGGACAGUUAAUAACCCUUCCAAAAUUAGUUGCAGUGCUUCAAUCAUGGUAACCACCGAAUAUCCAGUAGUAAUGAGAAAUAGAGUAUCAAAGCUAUUCACACACAAGCCAGAGGCUACUUCCAACUACAAUGAGGAAUACUGCCAGAAACCAGGACCAACAACUACAAGUGCAUUGCUAUACGGGUCCAGAAACAUUCCUGAUAUGCACAAGCAAUCCCUGCAGGCCACAGCUCAACUAAACCCUGAGCAACUGAUUGCGGGCCACAAAGUCUUGUCUACGUAUCAGAGAGACUACACAAGCUUUACACAGGGAAGAGUUGGUUCAACCAGCAGCAAGCCUGCUACACGAAUAAGAAAAGGGUUAUCCACGUGGCCCACGUCUGUGCAAGUUUCUUAUACAAUCCCAAGGCAAGCUUUAAAUCUCAAAGGCAACACAACUCGCUAUGGGUGCAGUAAAGGCAUUUUACGAGCUGCUCAAGGGAUUGUACCAACUCUAGCCAAUGUAAAGCCUCCAUUAUCCGUUUCCUACCAGACAAGAUACAAAAGUGAGUUCUCAAGCGGGAAGCCAAGGAAUGCAAGCUCUCAGUUGAAGCUUCCCAAGAUCAGGAGUACACUCCUGCCAAGAUCAAUGCCAGUGGGCAACCACAACUCAUAGUAAUGCAUAAAUUCAUACAGGAUGUGAAUGUUGGAUUAACCAUAGAUACUAUCUAUGGAUUAACAUUCCACCAACACAAUUAGCCAUUGAAAUUGCAUCAUUAUGAUGUAAUGAAUUCAGCUCUAUAUUUAUUAUAAAACUUUCAUCAGUUUACAUGUACAGGUCAAGGUCUUCAACCACAAAGCUUAAUUAA